rnacentral:rRNA from 1 species
AGUGAACGCUGGCGGUAGGCCUAACACAUGCAAGUCGAACGGCAGCACAGUAAGAGCUUGCUCUUACGGGUGGCGAGUGGCGGACGGGUGAGGAAUACAUCGGAAUCUACUUUUUCGUGGGGGAUAACGUAGGGAAACUUACGCUAAUACCGCAUACGACCUACGGGUGAAAGCAGGGGAUCUUCGGACCUUGCGCGAUUGAAUGAGCCGAUGUCGGACUAGCUAGUUGGCGAGGUAAAGGCCCACCAAGGCGACGAUCCGUAGCUGGUCUGAGAGGAUGAUCCGGCACACUGGAACUGAGACACGGUCCAGACUCCUACGGGAGGCAGCAGUGGGGAAUAUUGGACAAUGGGCGCAAGCCUGAUCCAGCCAUACCGCGUGGGUGAAGAAGGCCUUCGGGUUGUAAAGCCCUUUUGUUGGGAAAGAAAAGCAGCAGGUUAAUACCCCGCUGUUCUGACGGUACCCAAAGAAUAAGCACCGGCUAACUUCGUG